rnacentral:rRNA from 1 species
UACGUAGGGACCGAGCGUUGUCCGGAAUCAUUGGGCGUAAAGAGCGUGUAGGCGGCCACUUAAGUCCUGCGUGAAAUCUUGCGGCUCAACCGCAAGCGGUCGUGGGAAACUGGGUGGCUAGAGUGCGGGAGAGGAGAGUGGAAUUCCUGGUGUAGCGGUGGAAUGCGCAGAUAUCAGGAGGAACAUCGAUGGCGAAGGCAGCCCCUUGGACCUGUACUGACGCUCAUGCACGAAAGCGUGGGGAGCAAACAGG